GUAGGGUGCGAGCGUUAAUCGGAAUUACUGGGCGUAAAGGGUGCGCAGGCGGCGUCGCAAGUCAGGCGUGAAAUCCCCGGGCUUAACCUGGGAACUGCACUUGAAACUACGAUGCUGGAGUAUGGCAGAGGGAGGUGGAAUUCCACGUGUAGCGGUGAAAUGCGUAGAGAUGUGGAGGAACACCGAUGGCGAAGGCAGCCUCCUGGACCAAUACUGACGCUCAUGCACGAAAGCGUGGGGAGCAAACAGGAUUAGAUACCCUGGUAGUCCACGCCCUAAACGAUGAUGACUAGUUGUUGGAGGAGUUAAAUCCUUUAGUAACGCAGCUAACGCGAGAAGUCAUCCGCCUGGGGAGUACGGUCGCAAGAUUA
rnacentral:rRNA from 1 species